rnacentral:rRNA from 1 species
AGGCCUCAUACAUGCAAGUCGAACGGUAACAGCGGAGCUUGCUCCGGCUGACGAGUGGCGGACGGGUGAGUAACGCGUAGGAAUCUGCCCAGUAGUGGGGGACAGCCCGAGGAAACUCGGAUUAAUACCGCAUACGCCCUACGGGGGAAAGGGGGCCUUUGGCUCUCGCUAUUGGAGGAGCCUGCGUUGGAUUAGCUAGUUGGUGGGGUAACGGCCUACCAAGGCGACGAUCCAUAGCUGGUCUGAGAGGACGAUCAGCCACACUGGGACUGAGACACGGCCCAGACUCCUACGGGGGGCAGCAGUAAGGAAUCUUGUGCAAUGGGGGAAACCCUGACACAGCCAUGCCGCGUGUGUGAAGAAGGCCCUAGGGUUGUAAAGCACUUUCAGUAGAGACGAAACAGCGGGGUUAAUAGCCCCGUGAUAUGACUUAACCUACAGAAGAAGAUCCGGCUAACUCCGUGCCAGCAGCCGCGGUAAUACGGAGGGAUCGAACGUUAAUCGGAAUUACUGGGCGUAAAGCGCGCGUAGGUGGUUCAUUAAGUGGGAUGUGAAAGCCCCGGGCUUAACCUGGGAACUGCAUUCCAAACUGGCGAACUAGAGUACGAUAGAGGGGGGUAGAAUUCACAGUGUAGCGGUGAAAUGCGUAGAUAUUGUGAGGAAUACCAGUGGCGAAGGCGGCCCCCUGGAUUGAUACUGACACUCAGUGUGCGAAAGCGUGGGGAGCAAACAGGAUUAGAUACCCUGGUAGUCCACGCCGUAAACGAUGUCUACUAGCCGUUGGGAGGCUUGUCCUCUUAGUGGCGCAGCUAACGCGAUAAGUAGACCGCC